rnacentral:rRNA from 1 species
AACGAACGCUGGCGGCAUGCCUAACACAUGCAAGUCGAACGAAGUCUUCGGACUUAGUGGCGCACGGGUGCGUAACGCGUGGGAAUCUGCCCUUGGGUACGGAAUAACUCAGAGAAAUGUGUGCUAAUACCGUAUAAUGUCUUCGGACCAAAGAUUUAUCGCCCAAGGAUGAGCCCGCGUAAGAUUAGCUAGUUGGUGGGGUAAAAGCCUACCAAGGCGACGAUCUUUAGCUGGUCUGAGAGGAUGAUCAGCCACACUGGGACUGAGACACGGCCCAGACUCCUACGGGAGGCAGCAGUGGGGAAUAUUGGACAAUGGGCGAAAGCCUGAUCCAGCAAUGCCGCGUGAGUGAUGAAGGCCCUAGGGUUGUAAAGCUCUUUUACCAGGGAUGAUAAUGACAGUACCUGGAGAAUAAGCUCCGGCUAACUCCGUG